GAGACUGCCGGUGACAAACCGGAGGAAGGUGGGGAUGACGUCAAGUCCUCAUGGCCCUUAUGGSUAGGGCUUCACACGUCAUACAAUGGUGGGUACAGAGGGUUGCCAASCCGCGAGGGGGAGCUAAUCCCAGAAAACCCAUCGUAGUCCGGAUCGCAGUCUGCAACUCGACUMCGUGAAGUCGGAAUCG
rnacentral:rRNA from 1 species